UACGGGGGGGGCAAGCGUUGUUCGGAAUUACUGGGCGUAAAGGGCUCGUAGGCGGCCUGCUAAGUCGAACGUGAAAUCCCCGGGCUCAACCCGGGAACUGCGUCCGAUACUGGUUGGCUUGAAUCCGGGAGAGGGAUGCGGAAUUCCAGGUGUAGCGGUGAAAUGCGUAGAUAUCUGGAGGAACACCGGUGGCGAAGGCGGCAUCCUGGACCGGCAUUGACGCUGAGGCGCGAAAGCCAGGGGAGCAAAGCGGG
rnacentral:rRNA from 1 species